rnacentral:rRNA from 1 species
AGAUUGAACGCUGGCGGAAUGCUUUACACAUGCAAGUCGAACGGCAGCACGGGGGCAACCCUGGUGGCGAGUGGCGAACGGGUGAGUAAUACAUCGGAACGUGCCCAGUCGUGGGGGAUAACGUAGCGAAAGCUACGCUAAUACCGCAUACGAACUCUGGUUGAAAGCGGGGGACUCGCAAGAGCCUCGCGCGAUUGGAGCGGCCGAUGGCAGAUUAGGUAGUUGGUGGGGUAAAGGCUCACCAAGCCUGCGAUCUGUAGCUGGUCUGAGAGGACGACCAGCCACACUGGGACUGAGACACGGCCCAGACUCCUACGGGAGGCAGCAGGUGGGAAUUUUGGACAAGUGGGCGCAAGCCUGAUCCAGCCAUUCCGCGUGCAGGAUGAAGGCCCGUUCGGUUGUAAACGUGUCGUUUUGGAACGGAACG